AGCAGCUGGAGGCCGUCCUCCCCCAGCCUGGUCAGGUGCUGGUGGAAGCGAGGCAGCAUGAGACGCAGCAGCUCCCGCAGGUACAUCUGGAGGUGGAUCAGAGAGGGCACACACUGUCUUAUAAACAUAAUCAAACUUUUUCUCGAGAAAGUUUUAUAUUCUCAGGCUGGGAUUAUGCUUCUCCGGGCUACACACAAGAGCGAAAUGUUCACGACUCUGCCGCCCAGCCAAACCACUAAAAAGUGUGGUCCCGCCCAAACACUGAAUGAUCCAACAUGUGUUUCAGCAUCACUGGAAAUGCCCAGAAAAACAUGACAAGCCCUGCUUAAGCUGUUGCUAUGCCAACCCCUCUGCUGAUCUACAUCUGCAGUUGUUACAGCUGCAUCGCUUCCCAUUUGCAGCUGCUUAGUUAUCACAGCCGAGGGAGGGACACACGGUUAGGAGACAAGGAACCAAACCACAGACAUGUCUCCUUGCUCCUAAUGAUCAACCAGUGGCCCCAGAGGCUGCUCUAGUCAAAGGGUCUUUAAAGGAAUCCACAUCAGAGUCAGAACAAGGGGCUCUAAUUACCUGACUUCGAUAAGACCUUCUGACGCACUCGAAAUGUUAAUAGGCCAUACAGAUGAAACCUGUCAAAUUAUCAUAUUCAUUACAGACAAAGCGGUGGAACGUGUGAAAAUAUGUGCACUCAACCUUUGGGUUAAGGGGUGGAGACGAAUAAAGAGGGA